rnacentral:rRNA from 1 species
GAUGAACGCUAGCUACAGGCUUAACACAUGCAAGUCGAGGGGAAACGACAUCGAAAGCUUGCUUUUGAUGGGCGUCGACCGGCGCACGGGUGAGUAACGCGUAUCCAACCUGCCCAUCACUUGGGAAUAACCUUGCGAAAGUAAGACUAAUACCCAAUGAUAUCCCACGAAGGCAUCGGAAUGGGAUUAAAGAUUUAUCGGUGAUGGAUGGGGAUGCGUCUGAUUAGCUUGUUGGCGGGGUAACGGCCCACCAAGGCAACGAUCAGUAGGGGUUCUGAGAGGAAGGUCCCCCACAUUGGAACUGAGACACGGGCCAAACUCCUACGGGAGGCAGCAGUGAGGAAGAUUGGUCAAUGGGCGAGAGCCUGAACCAGCCAAGUAGCGUGCAGGAUGACGGCGCGAUGGGUUGUAAACUGCUUUUAUAAGGGAAUAAAGUGGGUCUCGUGAGACUUUUUGCAUGUACCUUAUGAAUAAGGACCGGCUAAUUCCGUG